rnacentral:rRNA from 1 species
GAAUUCGAUUACCGCUCAGUAACACGUGGACAACCUACCCUUAGGUCGGGGAUAAACCCGGGAAACUGGGUAUAAUACCCGAUAGAUCUCGACUGCUGGAAUGCAUCGAGAUCGAAAGCUCCGGCGCCUAAGGAUGGGUCUGCGGCCUAUCAGGUAGUAGUGGGUGUAGCGUACCUACUAGCCUACGACGGGUACGGGUUGUGAGAGCAAGAGCCCGGAGAUGGAUUCUGAGACACGAAUCCAGGCCCUACGGGGUGCAGCAGGCGCGAAAACUUUACAAUGCUGGAAACAGCGAUAAGGGGACCUCGAGUGCCAGGUUACAAAUCUGGCUGUCGUGAUGCCUAAAAAGCAUUGCAUAGCAAGGGCCGGGCAAGACCGGUGCCAGCCGCCGCGGUAACACCGGCGGCUCGAGUGGUAACCGUUAUUAUUGGGUCUAAAGGGUCUGUAGCCGGCCGGAUAAGUCUCUUGGGAAAUCCAGCAGCUCAACUGUUGGGCUUUCAGGAGAUACUGUCUGGCUCGAGGCCGGGAGAGGUGAGAGGUACUUCAGGGGUAGGGGUGAAAUCUUGUAAUCCUUGAAGGACCACCAGUGGCGAAGGCGUCUCACCAGAACGGACCUGACGGCAAGGGACGAAAGCUAGGGGCACGAACCGGAUUAGAUACCCGGGUAGUCCUAGCCGUAAACGAUACUCGCUAGGUGUCGGCCACGGUGCGACCGUUGUCGGUGCCGUAGGGAAGCCGUGAAGCGAGCCACCUGGGAAGUACGGCCGCAAGGCUGAAACUUAAAGGAAUUGG